GGAACACAGCUCAUAUAAUAAUCCUGGCUUGGAGGCUCAAUUUCUCUAAGCCUCAGUUUUCUCUCUUGUGAAAUGGGGUCUACUCAUUCACCACACACUGGGAACACACUCCAUGCUGAGCUCUCCCCUACAGCCAGAAGCAAUCCUGCCUUCGUGGAGCCUCUGUACCAGGGGAGAUGGACAUGUGACCAAUCACUUCGCACCUAACAGUGGUUACCACAGAGGCUGGGUCUUGCUAUGUAUCUCAGGAAGCUGGCUUCAAACUCACAGUGAUCCUCCUGCCUCAGCCUCCUGAGUACUGGGAUUACAGGCCUGCACCACCACACCUGGCUCAGGCCUGCUUCAGAAAGCCAGGCAACUUUCUCUGUAAGUCUCCAUGUGACCUCCCUACUUGACCCACUGCAGACUGUAUUGACACUUGCAUGAACUCUGUCUUGGC
ensembl:lncRNA